UGGGCGUAAGCGCGCGCAGGCGGCCUUUUAAGUCUGAUGUGAAAGCCCCCGGCUCAACCGGGGAGGGUCAUUGGAAACUGGAAGGCUUGAGUACAGAAGAGAAGAAUGGAAUUCCAUGUGUAGCGGUGAAAUGCGUAGAGAUGUGGAGGAACACCAGUGGCGAAGGCGACUCUUUGGUCUGUAACUGACGCUGAGGCGCGAAAGCGUGGGGAGCAAACAGGAUUAGAUACCCUGGUAGUCCACGCCGUAAACGAUGAGUGCUAGGUGUUGGGGGGUUUCCGCCCCUCAGUGCUGAAGCUAACGCAUUAAGCACUCCGCCUG
rnacentral:rRNA from 1 species